rnacentral:rRNA from 1 species
UGGGGAAUAUUGGACAAUGAGGGCAACCCUGAUCCAGCAAUGCCGCGUGUGUGAAGAAGGUCUUCGGAUUGUAAAGCACUUUCGACGGGGACGAUGAUGACGGUACCCGUAGAAGAAGCCCCGGCUAACUUCGUGCCAGCAGCCGCGGUAAUACGAGGGGGGCUAGCGUUGCUCGGAAUGACUGGCGUAAGGGCGUGUAGGCGGUUUACACAGUCAGAUGUGAAAUCCCCGGGCUUAACCUGGGAGCUGCAUUUGAUACGUGUAGACUAGAGUGUGAGAGAGGGUUGUGGAAUUCCCAGUGUAGAGGUGAAAUUCGUAGAUAUUGGGAAGAACACCGGU